AACCCGGGAGGUGGAGGUUGUGGUGAGCUGAGAGUAUGUCAUUGCACUCCAGCCUGGGUUACAGAGCAAGACUCUGUUUCAAAAAAAAAAAAAAAAUGUAUUUUAUGUAAGUAUUCAAUUACUAUCACCUUUCUUCUCUAUUUCAAUGCCUUCUUCACUUUACACCAAUUAAAAACAAGCCAGCUAGUGCCAGGAAAGCACGUGGUGCUAUUGCCAUUUUAAAGAUGAUGGAUGAAGAGCACUCGUUUGAGUAGUACUCAUGUGCCGAACAAUGUUAUUUAACACAAAGUACUGAUUUUCUAUUUUUCCCUAAAUUUAUUGAUAAAAUGUUUAGCUAAGAAGAUUUUAUCUCAUUCAAGUGUGUUUUAUGGAAUCUGUCAACAUUUACUACCUGAACUUACCAGACAUUGCCUCGUCAAGAUCAUCUAUAAAACACCUGCCAUUUCACCAUGGAACCAGCUACCACUUCUUCAAGACCCCUCUCUGCCGCAGAGAACUCUUCUCUCUCUUUCGCCUAUUAAACAUCCACUCUGAACCUAA